rnacentral:tRNA from 1 species
AGGCAGGUAAGUUAAGUAAACUACGGGGUUCAUGUCCCCAUAAUAUGUUCAGCAUCCUGCCAA